rnacentral:rRNA from 1 species
CCUACGGGUGGCAGCAGUAGGGAAUCUUCCACAAUGGGCGAAAGCCUGAUGGAGCAACGCCGCGUGGGUGAAGAAGGUCUUCGGAUCGUAAAACCCUGUUGUUAGAGAAGAAAGUGCGUGAGAGUAACUGUUUACGUUUCGACGGUAUCUAACCAGAAAGCCACGGCUAAUUACGUGCCAGCAGCCGCGGCAAUACGUAGGUGGCGAGCGUUAUCCGGAUUUAUUGGGCGUAAAGGGAACGCAGGCGGUCUGUUAAGUCUGAUGUGAAAGCCUUCGGCUUAACCGGAAUAGUGCAUUGGAAACUGGGAGACUUGAGUGCAGAAGAGGAGGGUGGAACGCGGGGUGUAGCGGUGAAAUGCUUAGAUAUAUGGAAGAACACCGAUGGCGAAGGCAGCUCUCUGGUCUGUAACUGACGCUGAGGUUCGAAAGCGUGGGUAGCAAACAGGAUUAGAUACCCUAGUAGUC